GGAAGAGAGAGUCCCGGACCGAGCCGGACCUCGGCCCGCGGGGCGUUAGCAAACGGCCAUGAGGAGAGAGAGUCCGGACCGAGCCGGACCUCGGCCCACAGAAAGUUAGCAAACGGCCAUGAGGAGAGAGUGUCCGGACCGAGCCGGACCUCGGCCCGCGGGGCGUUAGCAAACGGCCAUGAGGAGAGAGAGUCCGGACCGAGCCGGACCUCGGCCCGCGGGGCGUUAGCAAACGGCCAUGAGGAGAGAGAGUCCGGACCGAGCCGGACCUCGGCCCACAGAAAGUUAGCAAACGGCCAUGAGGAGAGAGAGUCCGGACCGAGCCGGACCUCGGCCCGCGGGGCGUUAGCAAACGGCCAUGAGGAGAGAGAGUCCGGACCGAGCCGGACCUCGGCCCACAGAAAGUUAGCAAACGGCCAUGAGGAGAGAGUGUCCGGACCGAGCCGGACCUCGGCCCGCGGGGCGUUAGCAAACGGCCAUGAGGAGAGAGAGUCCGGACCGAGCCGGACCUCGGCCCACAGAAAGUUAGCAAACGGCCAUGAGGAGAGAGUGUCCGGACCGAGCCGGACCUCGGCCCGCGGGGCGUUAGCAAACGGCCAUGAGGAGAGAGAGUCCGGACCGAGCCGGACCUCGGCCCACAGAAAGUUAGCAAACGGCCAUGAGGAGAGAGGCAGGAUAGCUUCUGCUUCAACAACUAAAAAAGUUGGAAACCACAGAAGAGACAGACAAGACAGAACCAGAACCACACCCUGGAAUUAUCCCCCUCACACCCUCCUCCCUCCUCCCAUGCGGAGGAUUCCCCCUAACACCUUCCUCCCUCCUGCCUCCUCCCAUGCGAUGACUCCCCCUCACACCUUCCUCCCUCCUCCCUCCUCCCAUGCGGAGGACUCCCCCUCACACCUUCCUCCCUCCUCCCUCCUCCCAUGCGAUGACUCCCCCUCACACACUCCUCCCUCCUCCCUCUUCCCAUGCGGAGGACUCCCCCUCACACCUUCCUCCCUCACACCCUCCUCCCAUGCGGAGGACUCCCCCUCACACCUUCCUCCCUCCUCCCUCCUCCCAUGCGGAGGACUCCCCCUCACACCUUCCUCCCUCACACCCUCCUCCCUCCUCCCAUGCGGAGGACUCCCCCUCACACCUUCCUCCCUCCUCCCUCCUCCCAUGCGGAGGACUCCCCCUCACACCUUCCUCCCUCACACCCUCCUCCCUCCUCCCAUGCGGAGGACUCCCCCUCACACCUUCCUCCCUCCUCCCUCCUCCCAUGCGGAGGACUCCCCCUCACACCUUCCUCCCUCCUCCCUCCUCCCAUGCGGAGGACUCCCCCUCACACCCUCCUCCCUCCUCCCUCUUCCCAUGCGGAGGACUCCCCCUCACACCUUCCUCCCUCACACCCUCCUCCCUCCUCCCAUGCGAUGA
rnacentral:lncRNA from 1 species